GGAUAAAUCGAGUUGGGUUUGAAAUAUAGGUUUACGGUCCAAGAACCAGCCAAUUACAUCACUUUCAUAACUGUCCGGGCUAAACUGUGAUAGAUGGAAAGUUCUUGGGCCACGGCUGUCCAUAGUUAAAAGUUAUGGGUUACUACUGAAAUAAUUCUAUUGGGACUAAAACUUAAAUUUACCAUCUUCUUCUACCUCGAUUAUAGGAGGAAAUUCCGGCGAGCCCUAAUGGUCACAGAUUCGACACGGAAAAGGGAAAUCGAGUGAGAGGAGAGGCUUUCCCGAAUCGGC
rnacentral:lncRNA from 1 species